ensembl:lncRNA
ACAGGAGACCCAGUUUGAUUGCUGGGUUGGGAAGAUCCCCUGGAGAAGGAAAUGGCAACCACUCCAGUAUUCUUGCCUGAAAAACCCCAUGGACAGAGGAGCCUGGCAGGCUACAAUCCAUGGGGUCCGGAAGAGUCAGAUGUGACUGAGUGAUUAAGCACAGCUCAGAAAGCUAGAAGCACAACUUCAGCUCAGCCUCUAUUACGGGUACUUUUCCCACCUGGAUGACUCCAUUGGACGGGAUACAAGAUGACCUUACCCAGAGUUGCCAGAAAAACUACCAUGCCUUUGCACUCACUCUAGGAAUGAAGACCAAUCCCCAAGAAGGAGCGGUUCUCCUCUGCUACAUCAGCUAAUAGCCCAGGCUUCACCCUCUGGCAUCUUGGGUGAGAACAAGCGUGUGGGAUCAGGCAGCAGGCCUGUGUGUUUCCCUAAAUGCUCUCUGGUCCCACUGAAACUCCUCUAGCUUGACAUGAUGAGGAAGGAAGCUCCUUUAACCUGCCUCCUUGGAUGGGGAAGGAGGACUUACAGCACAGCCACAACUCUCUCCAAAGAAACUUUCAUCCAUUUUCCCUAACUUUCCAUUCUCUUCAUCUCAUUAUAUCCUUGAUAUGACUAGGGGUUGGUGAGCUGUGGUUUUCAACUUAACUUUUCUGUAAUUUCUGCACAUGGUCUAGUCAUACUUUUAGAACGUAUGGUAUUACAUCAAUUGAAAUCUCUAAUCCUGCUUAAUUUUAAGUGACCAAACGAGUAAGAAAUUACAGAAUUUAUUAAAAGCUACGUAAGUGCCUGAUGCUCCAAAGGAAAGCCUUUGUAAGAGAAUAAAGAAUGCAGAUGAGGCUUCCUACUCUGCCUCCUCUUCUAUUCCUCAAACCCAAGAAUGGGAUGUUAUUGUUGUCAUGCAAAGACAAAGCACAGAGAACCCCAACUACCAGAGGCAGUGGAGCCAGUCAAAGCACUAAAAGGACCACAUUUGAUCCAAUCCUAGUGCUGAGUAUUCCAGGCAUCUUCCUGUAGCAUGAGAAGAAUAGACAAAGUCAGAUUGUCCCUGGGAAGAAAUGAAAUCCAGCCAGAGUUGGCCAAGUCUCCUCCAACACAGCGGAGAAAGACCCCAAUCAUUCAACCAAUCCUUGGAAUGGGAAGUAAAAGAGGAAGGGGCAAGACAGCCUACCAUGUACAGAUUCAAGAAGUAGAAGAGAAAGAGGAUGAUUUGGUUCCUGCAUAUGAGUAAUCUGGAGAUUCCCAAUGGGCCCAGUUGCGUGCCAUGAGUAGGUUCCACAUGUACCACAACAGAAACUUCAACCUCAAGCCUUUGGGGCUGCCAGAAACCCCAGACUGGUAACCUAUGGCCAUGAGCAGCCUUAUUUGGGGCUCUACAGAGGGUGGUCCCAGAUAAGCCAGACCUGUCUGUACUUCCCACAGUCCCUACAAACAGAAGUGUACUCAGCACCACUGAGCACAAAUGGAUCAGUCUCAGCAUUCUGAGCAGGACUAACCAGGAGCCCUUCCACAU